UGGGGAAUAUUGCACAAUGGGCGAAAGCCUGAUGCAGCAACGCCGCGUGAGUGAUGAAGGCCUUCGGGUUGUAAAGCUCUGUCUUCUGGGACGAUAAUGACGGUACCAGAGGAGGAAGCCACGGCUAACUACGUGCCAGCAGCCGCGGUAAUACGUAGGUGGCAAGCGUUGUCCGGAUUUACUGGGCGUAAAGGAUGCGUAGGCGGAUACUUAAGUCAGAUGUGAAAAUCCCGGGCUUAACUUGGGAACUGCAUUUGCAACUGGGUNUNNAUAGUGCGGGAGAGGAAAGUGNNNUUCCUAGUGUAGCGGUGAAAUGCGUAGAGAUUAGGAAGAACACCAGUGUCGAAGGCGACUUUCUGGANCGUAACUGACGCUGAG
rnacentral:rRNA from 1 species